GACGAACGCUGGCGGCGUGCUUAACACAUGCAAGUCGAACGAUGAAGCCGGAGCUUGCUCUGGUGAAUUAGUGGCGAACGGGUGAGUAACACGUGAGUAACCUGCCCUUGACUCUGGGAUAACUGCGGGAAACUGUAGCUAAUACCGGAUACGACCCUCGGGGGCAUCUCCUGGGGGUGGAAAGAAUUUCGGUCAAGGAUGGACUCGCGGCCUAUCAGCUAGUUGGUGAGGGAAAGGCUCACCAAGGCGACGAAGGGUAGCCGGCCUGGGAGGGUGACCGGCCACCCUGGGACUGCGACACGGCCCAGACUCCUACGGGAGGCAGCAGUGGGGAAUAUUGCACAAUGGGCGCAAGCCUGAUGCAGCAACGCCGCGUGAGGGAUGACGGCCUUCGGGUUGUAAACCUCUUUUAGCAGGGAAGAAGCGAAAGUGACGGUACCUGCAGAAAAAGCACCGGCUAACUACGUGCCAGCCGCCGCCGUAA
rnacentral:rRNA from 1 species